GCCUGAUUGUCGCAGUUGGUAGUGACCCUACUAGCUGCGCUGGGGGCGUAGGUUCGAUUUCUAUCACAAGGCA